UCAGACGAUGCGUCAUGCAUAUCAAUAAGCGGAGGAAAAGAAACUAACAAGGAUUCCCCUAGUAACGGCGAGUGAAGCGGGAAGAGCUCAAAUUUGAAAUCUUAAAGGGUUUCCCUUUACGAAUUGUAGUUUAAAGAAGUGUUUUCUGUUGAGGUUUUGGUAAAAGUUCUUUGGAAUAGGACAUCAUAGAGGGUGAGAAUCCCGUAUUUGACCUUUACUUUCAACUUUGUGAUACACUUUCAAAGAGUCGGAUUGUUUGGGAAUGCAGUCCAAAAUGGGUGGUAAAUUUCAUCUAAAGCUAAAUAUUGGCGAGAGACCGAUAGCGAACAAGUACCGUGAGGGAAAGAUGAAAAGAACUUUGAAAAGAGAGUUAAACAGUACGUGAAAUUGUCAAAAGGGAAGCGUUUGACACCAGUGUUGUUUUUCUGAAAAUCAAUUAAAGAACUGUUUAUGCUAAGCUUGUUUAGACUUUAUCAGCUAACUGUUUAGUUUUGAGCUUCUCUUUAAUGCACUUUUCAGUUAACAAGUCAACAUCAAUUUCUUUUGCUGUAAAAAAGCUUGAGGAAGGUGGCUUGAGAUUCGUCUUAAGUGUUUAUAGCCUCUUGCCUAUGCAGUCGGAGAGAUUGAGGUCUGCAGCGUAGAUCCUUCGGGGCUAAAUGCAUUUGUGCUAAGUUAUAGCAUUUUAUAGACAACUUGUUGACUAUGAUUUGUCUUGUAGCUUACUCGCUUAUGUUAUUUUACCUACGCUUAGGAUGUUGAAUCUGUGCGAGACUAC
rnacentral:rRNA from 1 species